UGCGGAGGAUCCAAGCGUUAUCCGGAUUUAUUGGGUUUAAAGGGUGCGUAGGCGGCGUUGUAAGUCAGUGGUGAAAGUUUUCAGCUUAACUGGAAAAUUGCCAUUGAUACUGCAGUGCUUGAGUACAGAUGAGGUGGGCGGAAUGUGUCAUGUAGCGGUGAAAUGCAUAGAUAUGACACAGAACACCAAUUGCGAAGGCAGCUCACUAAGCUGUAACUGACGCUGAGGCGCGAAAGCGUGGGUAGCGAACAGG
rnacentral:rRNA from 1 species